CACAUAAACUCCAUAUAUAAACUCCACGAUAUCUUACUAAAAUUAAAAAAUUAAACAAAUUAGAUCUAAUUGGGUCGUGCCGGCCUAAACCCGGCCUAUCUAUGUGGGCCAUACUGGGGCCUGACGGAUCGAAAUUUGAGGUCCGGCCUAGCGCGACACAUAUUAUUUCGUGUCGAACUGUGCUUUGAGCUCCUGUUUUUAGACCGUGUUCGUACUGGCCCAAAAAGUCUAGCCCAUAUUCCCAGCACUAGUCACUCGUAUCAAGUUAUUGCAGUGACAUAAAGCGCCCAUUAUUUUUAGUUACAGAACUUGCGUAUGGUUUUACAUCCAACACACGGACAGGCUCACAUUGACGAGAGGCUCGGCCAUGUGUCCUGGUCUCCUGGAGACGCGCGCGCCCGGACGAGACCCAGCCAAAGCCAAGCUAAAGCUACGGCACGCCGUGGCGGUUGAUGGCGUCGGUGGACGUGUCCCCGGGGCGCCGGACGCCCCCUCCUCCGUCUCCUCCCAGGUCUCGCUGAGGCUGGACGUCGUCGCGGCGCUUCGGCUCCGCCACGGGGAUGGCAGUGCCGGGGACGGUGGGCGCCUCAGUGCCGGAGCCGCCGUGGGGUACGUCGGAGACGGGGAGGUGGCCCUGCGCGCCGUAGCCGCGCAUCUUGUAGUCCUCGAGGCCCUCGUACUGCACGUACGGGCUCGUCUCCGUCGGCAGCUGCACCGUGGUGCUGUCGCCCUCGCCGGCGGCCUUCCGCUGCUGCCGCUCCUUGGCCGCCUCCAUCGCCGUAUGUACCCUUGGCUUGAUUCGCUGCUCGCGGUUGUUCCCUCCCUUUCUCGUGGACUUUUACUGUUAAUAGCUAGUAGGCGCGCUUGCCCGAU
rnacentral:misc_RNA from 1 species